GAGCAAGUGGUUUUGGCUGUUCGGCCCUCUGAAUGAAUUGGGGUGGCUCCAGAAGGCACAGCUGCUUUCGAGUCCUUCUCUGCAGAUUGAUAUGGGUCUGCUGCUGCUCAGGUGGCUACGACCACCAUCAAACUGGCCACUGCAGAGAAGUUAUUUAGGGCAGCAGUUAGGAGAACAAUGUGUCUGAGCCACAGAAACAAGCCAGGGAGUCCUUUUUGCAGGGGCUAUGCCGGCUGCAAAUCAAAGCCUCUGCUGGCAGGGGGGUGGAUGGCUUACAGUGAUGUCUGCAGCCAUGGUUUGACAGCAACUGAUAUGAUGCCUCAGCAGUUUUAUUAGCAAAAGCAGAAAAUUCAGUAUAAAUAUCCCCAUCCUAUUGCCACUUUAGCUUCCUACAAUAAUCCUUCCCAUCUACAUCAAUGGCAUUGAGGAAUUUGCUCCCUGCUUCAUUUGCUUCCCUGCUGUGCUCUGGUACAUGAUUCAGAGCAGACCUGUCCUGCCAUGUAUGCUUCACACCACUCCAUCCCGACAGACUGAACAGUGAUGGAAACAACUCCAGGAGAGCCCGUCCUACCUGGGAAAGUACAUGUAUUUCUGCAGGGCUGCAAAGCUCUGCAUUAUCCCCCAGGUUACAUUUGGCUUUGAAAAGCCACCCACUGCCUCAUAAAGGCUGCGCCAACUAUGCAUCCUCCAGCUGGAAACACUUCCUGGGUUCCUGGUUUUCACCAUGAGAAACCUCCACGUGAAUCCCCCCCGGAGCAGGCUUGUCCUGCAGAGUCAACCUGCAUCUGCUUCUUCCUUGACUUUGUCAGCUGGUGGGAUUUAUGGUGUUGGUACCCCACAGGAACUGGAGAAAAGCUGUAAUUUGUUCAUGGUGCAAGGCACUGUACAAAUGCAGAAUGCAGGAAAACAAGAAGAGGCCAGCUGGUGCUGAGCUGGGUGUAUCAGCAACCACUCACAUUUUUCUUGUAUUUAUUUUUAUCAUAGAGAAGGGUUUUUUUGUUCCUGAGUCAGGGGGAGACUGUCUAAAGUACUGCUGGUAUUUGCUUCACUACCUUCCUAUGGAAUGAAGCAGAAGAAAGCAAUGAACUGGAGAGUAACGCAUACCCAUGAACUGAAGCUACUUCAGGAGGAGGUACCUGAGACCCGAGACUGCAGAGAGGUGCUCUUGUACCUGGUGAAUCGGCUGAAGCACCAGCACUGGCAAACAGCUGGAGAGGUGGCUCCAGCCUUCCCUUACUUCUUUCUAAACCCUUCCUCUUGGCUCCCUUCUCUCACCAUGGCCAUGGGCUGAGAUCACAUCAGGACUUAUGCUCCACGUGGGCUCAGGUACUGCUUCUUGGCACUGCAGACUUCAAACCAGGGGCUAAGGAGUCCCUCCUAUCUGUCCCCAUUUCAAGCCUUAUCGCAUCCCUGGAGCAGCAUCUCCAGCUCGGGGGAAGAGGAACAGGCCAAAACACAAGGGUGGGAGGGACGUGGGAAGUUUGGAUUGGACGGGCGAAGUGAACCUUUGCCUUGACUUUCAUGCUAGGCAUCUAUUGCCAAAAGGGAUGAAUAAUGUUUAUGCAUGAAUUAUCAACACAGAGAAUCCCUGAAGCAACAAGUCGCUCCCCGCUGGCUGGUGAAUGUUUUCACAGUGGCUUGCAGCUGGGCGCAGCACCCCUGGAGCAGUGCUAAAGACAGGCAGAGUUUUAAGCUGGUUGGAAAUUGUCACCAGCAGGCUCUCGUGGAGACACAGGACAUCUCUCUAGCUCUCUUUUUCAGCUGGGGGGGCAUGCUAAGCAUUUUGUGCUGCUGUUUUCACAGGCUCUCUGAUGUGCACAUACUGAGAGAUCCUACCACGGGGAUCAGACAGACACUUUGUUCAAGUCUGCAGAUGAAGUGGUGAGAAAUUAUUAAGAGGAUUAGCUGCUGGUCCAAAUACAUGUCUGCUGGAGCAGCCAAAAUACUGCUAGACGCAGGGAGAAAAAAAUGUAUUAGUUCAUACUCUCUUUUGUAUUGUCUAUGGUUUCAUAAUUGAGGAGUUCAGAGUUCAUGGGGGAGCUAAACCAGUGCAGCAGCAAAAAGGGUAGAUUCCUGUAGCAGACCCUUGAAAGAAAAGAAAGCCAGGCAUGUUAUCAAAAUGUGCUUUUAAAUCCAUGCAAGUUACCAAAAAGAACCAAAACCUGACAAGCACUCUGAAGGGUCAGGCCAGCCCCACCCUGACCAGGGGGCCUGGCAGCCAUUUUAGGGAGGGCUGAGCUGACCUGAUCUGCCAUUUUCUGAGGCCCUGAAUAUAUGAGCAGAAAGCUCAAAGAGAGCUCUAUCAUAUUUUGGCUGGACUGGAACAAGUCCCUGGCCUCCCAGAAGAGGCUUCAGCACCUCUUUUGCCCACCUUUCUGCCAUCCUGCUGCAAUCUCCCCCUUCAGGCCUGGGAUAUAUUUGCUCAGGACCUUGCCCCCUAACCCAGCAAUAUUAUUCUGAAGCCUUUUACUUCUGAGUCAGUCUUUAUUUCUUCUUGUUUUAUGUGAUAUACAGACAAAAGUGUAAUUUAUUCAAGUUCCUGCAGUGGUUCUUGCCAGAAUAAAGAGAAGUAAGAGCUGUCCAGUUGCAUGACUGCUCACUACAGGCCUGGGACCCCAAAUGUCCAUUCCCUUAAGGACAAGUGGAGAUAUUUAGAUUCCAUGUUUAGUUUAACCUGUGGCUACAAAAGAAUAAUAAUUCAGAUUUUGGCUGACACUCCAGAGUUGAAAAUCUAAAAGUUUUUCUUAAUAAAGCUUUGCAUACAUAUGAAGCUGUGCAGUGAACAUAAAUUACAGGAGAAAAUUGAUUUGGACAUUAGAAACAGUAGAAAGGCAAGGAAGCACUGAUGGUGUUAGCUGUGGGAUCUGCUAUGGGAAUCUGUGGGAAUGGGUUUAGAUCUCAUCUUGAGGCAACAGAAGGUGCUAUGGGAGUCCUGGGAUUGUUUUCAGCCAUUUUCUAUGAUUCUGUGCCAAAUUUUCCCUGGGUGCGAUUUUUUUUUCUCUACUUCUGCUCCUAGUGAUUCUGUUACUCUCUCUUGACAAAGCAUAGGCUGAGGCAGUUACUUUCUUAGGAAGGUGAAAAUAUCUCCAUAUGUUAAUCUGUAGUCCUGAAUUCCUUUGGGAUGACCCUAAUGAUAUAAAUACAGCUAUGAUUUAUUAUCCUCUGUGCUUAACACAUAGAUGUCCCACUGUACUCUUUGUUUGGAGUUCAUUCACGCCAUGCCCAUGCAUCACUUGCUGCUAACAAACUUGUUGAUUCUGGAUUUGAAUUCACAAUGUUCAAGGGAUCGGCUGUCUUUGCAGCCUCGUACAGUUUUCUUCAUCAGCCCUUUGACUCCCUCUGGAUUUAUUUUGUGGAUAUAAAUAAAGCUUAUUCUGCAGUUCUUUUAAGUGAGCUAAAUAUAAGUGGGGAGAAAAAGCAACAGACUUAGAAGCACAGAGAAUGCAAGAAAAAACCUCUCGCUGAAUUGUCAGGACUCCUCUGUUUUUAUACCAAAGCUCUGCUUGUCUGAACUCAUGACCAUUACCCUGAUCAUGAUGGAAACAGGCUACAUGUUCCAAGUGUAUCAGAAUUAAUGAUCAGCUGCUGCAAAAAGAUGGACACUAUUUCUUAGUCUUAGCCUGCCUGGUGCAAAGUUGUUUUCCAGCAUAUGGGGUGUUUUUAUGAAUCUGUGAGUAAUGUGAUGUCUGUCAGAAUUAUUUGUAUUAUCACUAUUAAUUGUAGCUACCCAACUGCCGUUUUAACUGUCUGAUGGGAUGCAGCAGUAUCUUUGCGGCAUGAGAUCAUGACAGCUACGGAAAGGUGGAGGAGAAAAGUUUCCAGAUCUCAUGAAAAAAACACUGGAAUUAAUCCUCAUCCUGCUGAAGUCAGAUUUCAAAUGAUCUGAUGUCCACACAGGCCUUCCUUCAAGUCCAUAGGACUUUCCUGGAUCUAUAAAUGUUCAUUUUCCAGUACUGAGCUAUAUUCAAUCCUUGGGUGUCCAGAGAGAGACUUUGCAAGACAAUAACUGUUUGAAAAUUUCCAAGUAAUGGUAUUUGAAAUCUCCUCCUUAUCCUGAAAAACAAACAAAUAAAUAAAUAAAUAAACUGUUUAAUCAAAAGGAAGAAUUGAAUUAAAAUGAUAAGGAUGAAAUGACUCUUCAGCAGGUCAUGUAGGGUAUAAUUUGUUUCUUGGCUCAGCCUGGUUCAGUGAAUUCUCCUGCAUUCAAUCGUUCAGUUAGUUCUGAGUAUUUACAGCAGCUUUGCAGUGUAUCGUAGCUAUUGCAGUACUAAGGUUUAAACUGAUAAUUAGAAGUACCUGAGGCUUUCUGUUUUUGGUUUUCCUACUCACAUUUGGAGGGUGUGAGGGGUAAAAGGCAAACUUGGACAUUUGAAUUUCUCUCCUGGAAUGGUGCUGCUUAAAAAUUUGCUUAAUCUUAUCAGCCUGGCAGGACUCU